rnacentral:lncRNA from 1 species
AUGAUGGCGCAUUACCAGGUGACGAUGGAACCGCCGGCGGUGACGUGGAAGGGGAGGUUCCCGGCGGGGGAGAUACUCCUGUUGGAGCAUUAGCCGCAGGUGGCUGCGAUGACGGUGACGUGGAGGGGGAAGUUCCCGGAGCCGGUGACAGCCCAGUUGGAGCAUUAGCCGCAGGUGGUUGCGAUGACGGUGACGUGGAGGGGGAAGUUCCCGGAGCCGGUGACAGCCCAGUUGGAGCAUUAGCCGCAGGUGAUUGGGAUGAUGAUGGUGACGUAGAAGGUGAAGUUGCCGGCACCGGAGAGUACCCUUUUGGAGGAUAAGGCGAAGGCGCAUGAGAUGAUGGUGACGUGGAAGGUGAAGUCGCCGGCACUGGAGAGUAUCCUUUUGGAGGAUAAGGCGAAGACGUGGAAGGUGAAGUUGCCGGCGUCGGAGAGGACCCUUUAGGAGGAUUAGCCGAAGGUGCAUGAGAUGUUGGUGAGGUGGAGGGGGAAGUCGCCGGCGGCUGUGUGGCCGGAGAAGGAGACUUAGGAGACGGGGCAUGCGGUGGAG